UUUCCCUUCUCCCCGUCGAAACGCGUCAAACGGGGAGAAGGUCGCGGCA
rnacentral:sRNA from 1 species